rnacentral:rRNA from 1 species
UCUGGAUUUAGAUACCCCACUAUGCUUAGAAAUUAACCAAGACAAACCUCAACAACUUGUCCGCCAGAAAAUUACGGGCGAAAGCCUAAAACUCAAAAGACUUGACAGUGUCCUAUCUGCCUAGAGGAGCCUGCUUCAUAAUCGAUAAACCCCGCUCAACCCGACCCUCCCUCGAAACCCACUUUCAGCCUAUAUACCGCCGUCCUUCUAGCGCUUACCUUCUGAAAGAUCUAUCAGUAAGCCCAAUAGCCCUUAAGCUAAAAAGUCAGGUCAAGGUGUAGCCCAUGGGAGGGAGAAAGUGGGCUACAUUUUCUACCUUAGAACACACGAAAUAUACUCUGAAACCAAAGUAAUAUGAAGGUGGAUUUAGUAGUAAACUAAACUAGAGUGUUUAACUGAAUCAAGCUCUAGGACAUGUACACACCG